rnacentral:rRNA from 1 species
AACGCGAAGAACCUUACCUGGGCUCGAACGGCUUAAGACCGUCGUGGAAACACGAUCUUCCCGCAAGGGACUUGAGUCGAGGUGCUGCAUGGCUGUCGUCAGCUCGUGUCGUGAGAUGUUGGGUUAAGUCCCGCAACGAGCGCAACCCUUGUCCUGUGUUGCCAUCAUUAAGUUGGGCACUCGCAGGAGACCGCCAGCGAUAAGUUGGAGGAAGGUGGGGAUGAUGUCAAGUCAUCAUGGCCUUUAUGUCCAGGGCUACACACGUGCUACAAUGGACGGUACAAACCGCUGCAAACCCGCGAGGGGGAGCUAAUCGGAGAAAACCGUUCUCAGUUCGGAUUGCAGGCUGCAACUCGCCUGCAUGAAGCUGGAAUCGCUAGUAAUGCCGUAUCAGAACGACGGCGUGAAUACGUUCCCGGGCCUUGUACACACCGAUAGC